rnacentral:lncRNA from 10 species
GGGCAGGCACAGGCAGGAACCCCAGGUGGGAAGCUGUUGGGGCCUGCUGGGCCUGGAGAAGGGACAGGGGCUGUGCUGUGCUGUGCUUGGCACAGGCUGGCACCUGCUGUUCCUGUCAGUCCACAUCUGGCCCACCCAAGAGGGGCUUCCCCUCAGCUAUGCCUAAGGUCUUGGCCAUUUCUCCACCCGUCCGUUUCCUACUGUCUCCCACCAUCCCUCCCUUUACCUCCCUUACGCACACCCCACUUCUGGAGACAGGAGCAGGAAAAACUGGGGUCGGCUUGCUCAGCCUGACUGGGGCUGAAACAGAAGUUUGCCACAAGGUUCCAAUGUUUGAACUGACCUUUGGAGGACAGACAGUUUGCCAGAGAAAGAGAUGUUGCCACAGAGUUGGGAGCCAUGAGGAGGGAGUGGCUGGAACAGAGACAAUCCACCAAAGGAGCAGCAGCGGAAGACGCUGAAGAGCUGCUGGUCACUGGGCGCCCUGGGUGGAGGGGGCGAGGAAAGACAUGAAGGAGAGGCAGCUGCUGAGUCUUAGAAAAUGGAUGGGUCAUGUGGAUAGAGGUGGGAAGGAUGUUAGAGACAAGGAGCAGCAUCAGCAAAAGUGUGGGGCAUGAAUUAGCAAGUGGGGACUUCAGAUGGACUGAGACUGAAAUGAGAGACAGAUGGGUUACUGGCUAAAAGGCUCAGCUCUUCUUUAGGCAGUGGUGAUCUGAUUUGUACAUGGAAAAUCAUUCUGGCAGAGAGAAAGUGGUUUGAGAGGCUGGGCGCAGUGGCUCACGCCUGUAAU